CUUGAUAACCGAAUGAGUGCAGGAAAACAAUGAGUGGCAAUGGCACGAAGCAGUGAAAAGAAUUUGAGGCGAUGUUCUGGAUAGUCUUCAAAAUUUUUAGUUAUCAUCUGCAAGGAUCGACAAGAAAAAAUUAUAGAAAAUAUUUACCUGUA